rnacentral:misc_RNA from 1 species
UCACGGUUUGCACCGGCAGUCUUGCUAGAGUUCCCGACUUGACUCGCUGGCAACUAACAACAGGGGUUGCGCUCGUUAUAGGACUUAACCUGACACCUCACGGCACGAGCUGACGACAACCAUGCAGCACCUUGAAAGACGUCCGAAGAAAGGCAUGUUUCCACGCCUGUCGUCUCCCAUUUAAGCCUUGGUAAGGUUCCUCGCGUAUCAUCGAAUUAAACCACAUGCUCCACCGCUUGUGCGGGCCCCCGUCAAUUCCUUUGAGUUUCAGGCUUGCGCCCGUACUCCCCAGGUGGGAUACUUAUCACUUUCGCUUAGCCACUCAACCUUGCGGUCGAACAGCUAGUAUCCAUCGUUUACGGCGUGGACUAC